rnacentral:rRNA from 1 species
UACGAAGGGGGCUAGCGUUGCUCGGAAUGACUGGGCGUAAAGGGCGCGUAGGCGGCUUGCACCGUCAGAUGUGAAAUUCCUGGGCUUAACCUGGGGGCUGCAUUUGAUACGUGUGGGCUUGAGUGCGGAAGAGGGUCGUGGAAUUCCCAGUGUAGAGGUGAAAUUCGUAGAUAUUGGGGAAGAACACCGGUGGCGAAGGCGGCGACCUGGUCCGUGGACUGACGGCUGAGGCGCGAAAGCGUGGGGAGCGAACAGG